UAUCCUCAAAUUUUAAAAAUACUAAUAAAAGAAUAAAUUAAAUUAAUUUAAAUUAAUUAAAUUAAUGUUUUAAUUUGAGGCGGUGUGCGGGUGUUGUAGAUAAAAAAAGAGAGAGAGAGAUAUUUUUCUCUCACAUGGAAGCUUCUGGCCAAAUGGAGAAAUCAGAGGAGAGAAACAGAGAGUGAGACAUAGAGGGAGCGAGCAGAGAGAGAGCUCACGAGAGAUUGCAAAGGAGAGAGCUGAUGCGAGAGAGGGAGAGAGAGACGAGGUGCAAGGCGGCCAUGGAAGCUGCCGAGUGAAGCUCGACCAUGGCAGUCGAGUGAACCAGUAGCAGCGUGCGUGUCUAAAACACUAAAGGAAAUGACCUUGGAUCAUGUGUGCAAGGGAAAAAUAAUAGAAUUUUGGGAGUUUUCGGCAAAGGAAGUGAUCAGGAAAUGAUUUAAUUUGCAUCGGGAGCUCGAGUGAGGUCAGAAUCAGCUGGUUUCAGGCAAGCUCCUAACCCUCUCCUCGUGCUUUUCAAUUCCUGUGAAAGACCCCGUAAUUUCUCGUAUUUAGUCUUCUCCCUUACUUUAUUUUGGCACUUAGCCUUAUCUAUUGAAUUAUUAUUCAUUUGUUUUAAUUAAAUUAAAUCCGAGACUUCUAGCAUUUUAUUUGUUGUGAGCCUAUGGGGGUUUGUACCGCCCCCACUCCUUUUGGGAAUGAUGCUGAACCCAGUUGGGACUAGGUUCCUAGACGGGCGGGUUUAUUUAUGAUUUUAUUGGGUUUAUUUACAGUUUUCUUGGAUUUAUUUAUGGUUCGGUUAGAGCUAUCGAGCAGUAGGGCAGGGGUCGAUUGUUGGUAACGUUGGAGUAGACUAUCGUACGGCCCUGAUGUGGACCGUCGGGUGGACACCCCUAGUCACUGGCCGUUGACCGAUGCCACGCACUGCUGACAAGCUCUGCCGGUAUGUGAUUUACUGCAUGAUUAGAUACAUUGUAUCACUGUUCAUGAUUUGAUAUGCACAUGGGUACGGGAUGCAUAUUGGGAUAUCCAUUUAUUGAGAAUGCUUGGACACGGACAUUCUAGUUUGGUUAGGUUGCAUCCAGCGCGAGCAUAUGCAUGGCGUGUGGUUUACUAUGUGGGCGGAGCAUGGCCUGAUGCCUGGAUGUAUGGGCGCCUUGUAUCACGUUGAUGCUCACUACGCCAUUGCAUUUCUAUGUGCAUUGCAUGGAUACUAGUAGUAUUUAGUUCUCGGACGGGAGUACCGUUCCGAGGGAGCCUAUGGCUCGGUUGUCGGGAGUACCGACGGAUACAGGUGACGGGAGUACCGGCCUGGGACAGCGCGCGCAGGUUUGUGGAGACAUUUGUUGCCUUUCAGGGCAGCGGCAGGUUGG